UUUUCAAAAAUUUGACAUAUUUACUAGUGACCGUUAUUGAAGCUAUAUUUGACGCGCAUGCGUCUGAAACCCGCCCCGUCUAAAGCUCCCCCUCUAAAGAUCACGGAUGAAGAAAGAAUUGACCAAUCGCAAUGGUUAUGUGAUCAAAUUGUUCAAAUGUGAUUUGUUAAUUUUUUUCUUUGUCUAAGAUCUCGGACCGAUUUCUAGCAUCGUGGACACAAGACUUAACAACACUGCAUGGUACACCAAAUGAGUUGGCUUAUUACCAACCAUGGAAACAUGAUACACUAUCUGAGUGUUGCAUUGAUGGGCGAUAAUGACAAGAACGAUAGUACUUCCGAAGAAGAUAAACUAAUUAUGGAAUCAAUGGAGCAAUCAAGCAGUUUGACCUCGUGAAAAACUACAUGGACACAUCAAUGAAUAUUUAGACGUGGAAUUUAAGAGUCAUUUGUGAUAAAAUAAAUAUAUGUGCAUCUUCUGCAGUUAAAUA